AGCUCCAAUAGCGUAUAUUAAAGUUGUUGCAGUUAAAAAGCUCGUAGUUGGAUUUGUGGUGUACGCAAGGCGUCCGUCCCGCUUGGGUUUCGGUGUUGCCUGGCGUUGCCAUCCUUGGGUGGAAUCUGUGUGGCAUUAGGUUGUCGUGCAGGGGAUGCCCAUCGUUUACUGUGAAAAAAUUAGAGUGUUCAAAGCAGGCUUAUGCCGUUGAAUAUGUUAGCAUGGAAUAAUAAGAUAGGACCUUGGUACUAUUUUGUUGGUUUGCGCACCGAGGUAAUGAUUAAUAGGGACGGUUGGGGGUAUUCGUAUUCCAUUGUCAGAGGUGAAAUUCUUGGAUUUUUGGAAGACGAACUACUGCGAAAGCAUUUACCAAGGAUGUUUUCAUUAAUCAAGAACGAAA
rnacentral:rRNA from 1 species